GAUGAACGCUGGCGGCGUGCCUAAUACAUGCAAGUCGAGCGAACAGAUGAGGCGCUUGCUCCUCUGACGUUAGCCGCGGACGGGUGAGUAACACGUGGAUAACCCACCUAUAAGUCUGGGAUAACUUCGGGAAACCGGCGCUAAUACCGGAUAAUCUAUUGAACCGCAUGGUUCAAUAGUGAAAGACGGUUUUGCUGUCACUUAUAGAUGGAUCCGCGCCGCAUUAGCUAGUUGGUAAGGUAACGGCUUACCACGGCAACGAUGCGUAGCCGACCUGAGAGAGGGAUAGGCGACACUGGAACGGAGACACGGACCAGAGGACUACGGGAGGCAGCAGUAGGGAAUGGGCCGCAAUGGGCGAAAGCCUGACGGAGCAACGCCGAGUGAGAGAUGAAGGUGUUCGGAUCGUAAAACUCUGUUAUGAGGGAAGAACAAAUGUGUAAGGAAAUAUGCAGGGCGUGACGGUAACUAAUAAGAAAGCCACGGCUAACUACGUG
rnacentral:rRNA from 1 species